UACGUAGGUGGCAAGCGUUACUCGGAAUCACUAGGCGUAAAGCGCAGGUAGGAGGUUUGGUAAGUCUGUUGUGAAAGCUCCCGGCUUAACUGGGAGAGGUCAACGGAAACUGCUGAGCUAGAGUGCGGUAGAGGUAGCUGGAAUUCCCGGUGUAGCGGUGAAAUGCGUAGAUAUCGGGAGGAAUACCUAUGGCGAAAGCAGGCUACUGGACCGUCACUGACUCUGAUCUGCGAAAGCUAGGGGAGCAAACAGG
rnacentral:rRNA from 1 species